UGCCAGCCGCCGCGGUAAUACGGAGGGGGCGAGCGUUAAUCGGAAUUACUGGGCGUAAAGAGCGCGUAGGUGGAUGUUUAAGUCGGAUGUGAAAGCCCCGGGCUCAACCUGGGAACUGCAUUCGAUACUGGAUGUCUUGAGUAUGGUAGAGGGAAGUGGAAUUUCCGGAGUAGCGGUGAAAUGCGUAGAUAUCGGAAGGAACACCAGAGGCGAAGGCGACUUACUGGGAUAUUUCUGACGCUGAGAAACGAAAGCUAGGGUAGCGAAAGGGAUUAGAUA
rnacentral:rRNA from 1 species